rnacentral:rRNA from 1 species
UACGUAGGGGGCAAGCGUUGUUCGGAAUUAUUGGGCGUAAAGAGCUCGUAGGCGGUCUGUCGCGUCGGCUGUGAAAACCCGGGGCUCAACCCCGGGCCUGCAGUCGAUACGGGCAGACUAGAGUGCGGUAGGGGAGACUGGAAUUCCUGGUGUAGCGGUGAAAUGCGCAGAUAUCAGGAGGAACACCGGUGGCGAAGGCGGGUCUCUGGGCCGUAACUGACGCUGAGGAGCGAAAGCGUGGGGAGCGAACAGG